UAAAAUGGUUAAAAUAACAAAAUUUUCAUUGUAAAUGAAACAUCAAUUGAUUUCAUUUU
rnacentral:tRNA from 1 species